UUAUCCACGAAGAGAAAGAUCAAGCAGAGGAAGAACAUUGAUGUUCUCCUCACUACUGAUGCAUCCGAAGCACAAGGCUUCUUGUUUGAGGGAGGAGAUGAUCAUGCUUUCAUGGUGUUUCCAGAUGGAGAUGAGGGAGCAGAUGGCAUACCUUGGAGUGUGGUUGGAGAUGCUAUGGGAACCAGUGAACAACUUGAGCUUCGUCGAAGUGCAAGGGUUAGAGAUCUCCAUGAUGAAGAGUUUGAGUCAGACGAAGAAGAAGUAGAGGAGACAGAUUCAGAGGAGGGAGACAUAGAGUACGAGGAUGAUGAAGAUGAAGUGGUGACUGGGCACACUUAUGUGGAUGCGAACUAA
rnacentral:rRNA from 1 species